rnacentral:sRNA from 1 species
CACACGCCUAGCCCGACGGGGCGAAAACCAGCAAACCUUCAACUGGCUGGCGUGUGUUUUCUUUUGGAGG